CGCGGGAUGGAGCAGUCUGGUAGCUCGUCGGGCUCAUAACCCGAAGGUCGCAGGUUCAAAUCCUGCUUCCGCAACCA
rnacentral:tRNA from 1 species